rnacentral:rRNA from 1 species
UACGGGGGGGGGCAAGCGUUGUUCGGAAUUACUGGGCGUAAAGGGCUCGUAGGCGGCCAACUAAGUCGGAUGUGAAAUCCCCAGGCUUAACCUGGGAACUGCAUCCGAUACUGGAUGGCUUGAAUCCGGGAGAGGGAUGCAGAAUUCCAGGUGUAGCGGUGAAAUGCGUAGAUAUCUGGAGGAACACCGGUGGCGAAGGCGGCAUCCUGGACCAAUAUUGACGCUGAGGAGCGAAAGCCAGGGGAGCAAAGCGGG